AGCCCUGGUCCAGGAAGAUCCCACGUGCUGCGGAGCAACUAAGCCUCCUGCGCUCCAGAGCCCACGAGCCACAACUACUGAGCCUGCAUGCCACAACUACUGAAGCCCGCACAUCUAGAGCCCGUGCUCCACAACAAGAGAAGCCAUUGCAAUGAGAAGCCCGUGCACCACAACAAAGAGUAGCCCCCGCUCACCACAACUAGAGAAAGCCUGUGCGCAGCAACGAAGACCCAACACAGCCAUAAAUAAAUAAAUAAAAUUUUUUUUU